rnacentral:rRNA from 1 species
UAUUGUACAAUGGGGGAAACCCUGAUGCAGCGACGCCGCGUGAAGGAAGAAGUAUCUCGGUAUGCAAACUUCUCUCAGCAGGGAAGAAAAUGACGGUACCUGACUAAGAAGCCCCGGCGAACUACGUGCCAGCAGCCGCGGUAAUACGCAGGGGGCAAGCGUUAUCCGGAUUUACUGGGUGUAAAGGGAGCGUAGACGGAAGAGCAAGUCUGAUGUGAAAGGCUGGGGCUUAACCCCAGGACUGCAUUGGAAACUGUUGUUCUAGAGUGCCGGAGAGGUAAGCGGAAUUCCUAGUGUAGCGGUGAAAUGCGUAGAUAUUAGGAGGAACACCAGUGGCGAAGGCGGCUUACUGGACGAUAACUGACGUUGAGGCUCGAAAGCGUGGGGAGCAAACA